AGGACGAACGCUGGCGGCGUGCUUAACACAUGCAAGUCGAGCGGUAAGGCCUUUCGGGGUACACGAGCGGCGAACGGGUGAGUAACACGUGGGUGAUCUGCCCUGCACUUCGGGAUAAGCCUGGGAAACUGGGUCUAAUACCGGAUAUGACCUCCUAUCGCAUGGUGGGUGGUGGAAAGAUUUAUCGGUGCAGGAUGGGCCCGCGGCCUAUCAGCUUGUUGGUGGGGUAAUGGCCUACCAAGGCGACGACGGGUAGCCGACCUGAGAGGGUGACCGGCCACGACUGGGACUGAGACACGGCCCAGACUCCUACGGGAGGCAGCAGUGGGGAAUAUUGCACAAUGGGCGAAAGCCUGAUGGCAGCGACGCCGCGUGAGGAUGACGGCUUCGGGUUGUAAACCUCUUUCAGUCAGGCGAAGCGCAAGUGACGUACCUGCAGAAGAAGCACCGGCUAACUACGUGCCCAGCAGCCGC
rnacentral:rRNA from 1 species